CCUACGGGAUGCAGCAGUGGGGGAUAUUGCACAAUGGGGGAAACCCUGAUGCAGCGACGCCGCGUGGGUGAAGAAGCGCCUCGGCGCGUAAAGCCCUGUCAGCAGGGAAGAAAAUGACGGUACCUGAAGAAGAAGCCCCGGCUAACUACGUGCCAGCAUCCGCGGUCAUACGUAGGGGGCAAGCGUUCGCCGGAUUUACUGAGUGAAAAGGGGGCGCAGAUGGCGAUGCAAUCCACGAGUGAAAGCCCGGGGCCCAACCCCGGGACUGCUCUUGGAACUGCGUGGCUAGAGUGCAGGAGGGGGAGGCGGAAUUCCUGGUGAAGCGGUGAAGGGAGUAGAUAUCAGGAGGAACACCGGUGGCGAAGGCGGCCUGCUGGACUGCAACUGACGUUGAGGACC
rnacentral:rRNA from 1 species